ACUUUGACAAUUUACUAUAAAGCACAGCACGGACUUCCAUUUCAGGUAAUUUUUCCCAAUUUAUUUUAUUUUUUUCACGAAGAACCCAGUUUUAAUUUCCCAUCAAUAUUUGGAGCCUAUCUCAUAACAUUAUAUCUACAGAAUCCAAGAAUAUAUAAGCAUAUUGUUUUCUUUUAUGAUAAUUGACAUUAUAUGGUUUAUUAAUUCGUGAAACAGUUUGGUGAUAUUAAAUAAACAUUUUGCAGACUUCAACUCAUCUAAAUGACAUUUGAAAAAUGAAGUUUAAUUUUGUAACAAUUGUCAUUCCUGUAUGCCCUAUGCAUAUUCCUUUACAAGUAUCUUAAAAUAAUAAAAUCAUAAAGCAUGUCACUUUAAUAAUAUGAAUUUAGACAUGUUGUAAAUCAUGGUGGAUUCCAACAAAAUAAUGCUCUCCUAUUAUCAUCUUAUUGCUCUUCCCAUUAUCCUUUUUAUAAUUAAUAAUUGUGAAUAACUCCACCUUGUAAUGCCUAUAUAAACCCUUUCUUUGUUAAUGAAUGAAGACAAUUUCAAUUCCUCGCUCAAGGCAUUUUGCUUGUUUUCUUCAAUCUUCAUUUGAGUAUUCCUUACUUACAUAUUCCCAAUUAAAUAAUUGCUUACAUACAACCCCUUUAAAUUAUAACAUCCAUUAUCUCCAAAUUUACAACACGUUAUCAGCACGAAGUUCGCUCUGGUACAAGAAGUAUUCUAUCCAUUUACUCUUUUAUUUUCUACGUAUUUAUUUAAAAAAAUUUCCUAUAAGUAAUACUUAUUAUUUACACUCUUUUCAAUAUUUAUUAUACUAAUAUCUUUUUAUUUGUUUGUGAUAAUGUCUCACUUGAAAAAAUUGGAGUUUAACGCUUUGGAUAUAUCAGGCGAGAAUUAUUUAUCCUGGAUCCUAGAUGUCGAAAUUCAUCUUGAUGCUAUGGGGCUUAGUACCACCAUAAAAAAUAAUAAUGACUCAUCCACUCAAGAUCGAGCCAAGGCUAUGAUUUUUCUACGACAUCAUCUUCACCAAGCACUUAAAAUGGAAUAUCUCACUAUAAAGGAUCCAUAUGUUCUGUGGAGCAGUUUGUAUGAAAGAUAUGGUCAUUUAAGGUCAGUCAUUCUUCCCAAUGCUCGUAAUGAAUGGAAUGCCCUCAGGCUACAAGACUUUAAGUCAGUACAUGAAUAUAAUUCUGCACUAUACAGAAUUACUUCACAGUUAAAACUAUGUGGAGAAAAUAUCACUGAUGAGGAUAUGUUGGAAGAAACAUUUACAACAUUUCAUGCUUCCAACAUGGUUUUGCAACAACAAUAUAGUGCUCGUCAGUAUAUAAAAUAUUCUGACUUGAUUGCAUGCCUUCUUGUGGCAGAAAAGAAUAAUGAAUUAUUAAUGAAAAAUCAUCAAGCCCAUCCUACUAGUACAAAACCAAUUUUUGAAGCAAAUGCAGUCUCACAUGAUCGUGAAGACAAUUAUGAAAAUGGGCGUGGCCGUGGGCAUAAUCGUGGCCGUAGACAUAGUUGUGGCCAUGGUCGUGGCUAUUAUCGAGGAAGAGGAUAUAAUAAGAAUCAUUAUUACCAACCUCGUGGUGGAUAUAAAAAUCACAAAAAGGAGAAAAAUGAGAACCAACAUAACACUCAAGAAAACACUUGUGAUAGAUGUGGAAUGUCUAGUCAUUUUUGGAGACAAUGUCGUACUCCCAGACAUCGUGUGGAUAUGUUUCGGGCAUCCCUAAAAUCAAAAGGAAAUAAUAUUGAAACAAACUAUGUUGAUGACUUGGAUCCAGUGGAUGUUACACAUCUUGAUGUUUCAGACUUCUUUGAAGACAAGGAUGGAAAAAUUGAUCACUUGAUUGGUGAUGGAAAUGUUCAUCACAUUUAAAAUUUUAUUUGUGCUUUAUGUUUGUUCAUGUAAUUUUUAUUUUUCGUGUUAUCUAAUAUGUAUUUCCCUUUUUACUUUUGUUUAAGGAUAUGGAUUUCAAUAAAAUGUUUGAUGGAGAAAUAUGAUCUGCUGAUAGUGCAACUACACACACGAUUCUUCGAAACAAGAGGUAUUUUUUAAAUCUAAAUCUAAUUAAGGCAAAUGUGAAUACAAUAUCAGGUCCAGUAGAUCGUAUUGAAGGUACAGGAAGAGCAAUGAUUAUAUUAGCAAAAGGUACAAAAUUGGAUAUUCAUAAUGCUCUGUAUUCACCUAAAUCAAAAAGAAAUUUACUUGGUUUUAAAGACAUUCGUCGUAAUAAUUUUCAUAUAGAAACAAUGGAUAAGAAUAAUGUAGAAUAUCUAUACAUUACUUCUAACAUGUCUAGAAAGAAAGAGAUAUUAGAAAAGCUUCCAGCUGAAAUAUAAGUGUGCAACCCAAGAGGGGGGUGAAUUGGAAUUUUAAAAAUUAUCCUAGCAAAUCCACACAACAAGCAAUCUAAUGUCUUAAUGAAAAUGAAAGCAAUAAGUUCAAUAAAAGCACAAUAACUAAUGAGUAAGGGAGAAGAGAAACAAACACACGAAUUUUUACGUGGUUCGGCAAACCCCGCCUACGUCCACGCCUCCAAGCGAUCCAAGCUUGAGGAUUUCACUAUCCAAGCCUUUCCAAGGCUUCAACCUUUUACAAUUGACUUCAAGGUGUCAUUGAACCUUUACAACAAAGAGAUUAUCUCCCAAUCUCUUCACUCAAGUGUCUCACACACUCAAACUCUUACAAUUAAGAUGAAGAAAUGAAAGUUACAAUGAAACUCACUCAAUGAGUAGAUAUUCAAAAAUGAAGAACAAGAAAUGAUUCAAUGUUUUGUGUUUUGCAAGUUGAAGGAUCAAGAUAUCUCGUGUGCUUUUUGUUUUUGCUUGUUGGAGAGAUUGAAAAUGAGUUGGAUUUGAGUUUAUAUAGUUUGAGCUAAAAAACUAGCCGUUAUACACAUUUUGGUCGUAACCGGAUUGCCGGUUAUGGACAUCUGGUUAUCCGCUUAAUGUUAUUGUUACAGCCACAAUUUUAAAUUUCUGAACAUCCGGUAUGUCGCUUUGUCAAAUCCGGAUUGCCGCUUAUGCUCAGAAGCUUACUGCCCAACAACCGGAUUUCCGUUUGUCAGGAUCCGGUUAGCCGCUUGCUACAGUAACUGCUACAGUGAAAUAUUUUCUAAUUUUACAGUUUGACCCCAAAACUUUAUAAAACUGUAUUAUGGCAUGAAACUUUGCAAAUAGGUCCAAUUUCAGAAUUUCUAAAUAAUACUUUGUCAAUCCCAAAACUUUCUGAAAUUAUGAUUUCACCCAAACUAUGUGAAAUUAUAAAAUGACCCAAAAUAUUUAAAUAGUUUCAACUAGGUCCAAAUCCGAAUGUUAAAACAAUAUCAAAGGUUCUAAAAUACAUUCAUUUUAGUCCAAAACACUUUGAUUCUAUAACAUCAUUUUCUUAUUAUAAAAACACAAUUCAUAAAUCAUUGUUUAAUCAAUACAUGUGGUUUGUUAUCAUCAAAAUCAAUAUNNNNNNNNNNNNNNNNNNNNNNNNNNNNNNNNNNNNNNNNNNNNNNNNNNNNUCUUAUUAUAAAUACAUUCAUUUUAGUCCAAAACACUUUGAUUCUAUAACAUCAUUUUCUUAUUAUAAAAACACAAUUCAUAAAUCAUUGUUUAAUCAAUACAUGUGGUUUGUUAUCAUCAAAAUCAAUAUCUAUAGCUAUAUAAGCUAACACCAGCUUUUUCAUCUGGCUUAUAUUAUACGACGAUAAAAUCAAUGGAAACUUACACAGUCAUAAAAGAUAAGUUAUAUGAUCCAAAAUCUUUUAUACUAUGGCAUGACCGCCUUGGUCACCCUGGAUCAACAAUGAUGCGUAGAAUUAUUGAAAAUUUUCAUGGACAUCCAUUGAAAGAUUUGAAAAUUUAUUGUCAAAUGAGAAUAGUUGUAUUGCUUGUUCACAAGGAAAAUUGGUAGUUAGACCAUCACCCAGUAAAAUUAAUUCUGAAUCUCUAUCAUUUUUACAAAGGAUUCAAGGAGAUAUAUGUGGGCCUAUUCACCUACCAAGUGGACAAUUUCGUUAUUUUAUGGUUUUGAUUGAUGCAUCUGCACGAUGGUCACAUGUUUUUUUAUUAUCUACACGUAACGUUGCAUUUGCAAGAUUGCUUGCGCAGAUAAUCAGGUUACGUGCACAAUUUCCAGAUUAUCCAAUCAAGACCAUACGUCUAGAUAAUGCUGGUGAGUUUACUUCCAAAAUAUUUGAUGAUUACUGCAUGACAGUUGGGAUUGAUGUAGAACACCCAGUACCACAUGUACAUACUCAGAAUGGAUUAGCAGAAUCUCUUAUCAAACGUCUUCAGGUAAUUGCCAAAACUUUAUUAUUACGAAGUCAAUUACCUAUUUCGACAUGGGGACAUGCUAUUUUGCAUGUUACGACAUUAAUCCGCUUGAGGCCUACUGCCUAUCAUAAAUAUUCCCCAUUGUAAUUGGCAUUGGGACAUCAACCAGAUUUAUCCCAUUUACGCAUUUUUGGUUGCACAGUACAAGUGCCGAUUGCGCCCCCACAACGUACUAAAAUGGGACCCCAACGACGAUUGGGAAUUUAUGUGGGAUUUGACUCACCAUCUAUUAUCAUAUAUCUUGAACCAUUGACAGGUGACGUAUUUACAGCACGAUUUACGAAUUGUCAUUUUGAUGAGACAAUUUUUCCUCCAUUAGGAGAAAGAAAAAAGGUCCAUGAGGUUAGGCAUGAUCCUCAAUGGAAAGUGACCCAUCUAUCUCAUUUAGAUCCACGCACAUCUCAGAGUGAAAAUGAAGUGCGAAGGAUGGUUCAUUUGCAGCAAAUUGCAGAACAAUUGCCAGAUGCAUUUACAGAUACGGCAAAAGUAACCAAAUCAUAUAUACCAGCUGCUAAUAUACCCGGCCGAGUCAUUGUAUACAAAGAACAAUUAAUGAAAAGUGUGGCUGAGGAAUUAUCUGUGGCACGCCAGAAGCGUGGUAGACCAAUUGGUUCAAAAGAUAGUGUUCCAAGAAAAAGAAAAAUGAUUAAACAGUGUUCUGCUACAAAUGAUGAUAAAAAUCUAAAAGAACAAAUUGCUUCAGAAAAGAAACCAGUCUUUGAAAAGACCAGAACCCUGACAAUACACAAACUCUUCAUGAGGAACAAAGCCUUGAAAAGGCACAUGAAUCCAGAAAUAGUGAGAUUUCUGUUGAUUAUACUCAUGGUAAAAUUAUCAUCAAUGAUGUGUUUACGUUUAAAGUAGCUACUGACAUUAUAACUGAUCAUGAUCCGUUAACCAUUGAUGAAUGUAGACUGAGGCAUGAUUGGCUUAAAUGGAAAGAAGCAAUCCAGGCAGAGUUGACUUCUUUAGCCAAACGUGAAGUAUUCAGACCUAUAGUCCAAACACCUAAGGAUGUCAAACCUGUUGGGUACAAAUGGGUAUUUGUAAGGAAACGUAAUGAAAAUGAUGAAGUUGUAAGAUAUAAAGCACGACUUGUUGCACAAGGCUUCUCACAGAGACCUGGUAUUGAUUAUAAUAAGACAUACUCUCCAGUAAUGUGUGCAAUUAUGUUUCAAUUUUUAAUUGGUUUGGCUAUAUCAGAAAAUCUUGAUAUGCGUCUCAUGGAUGUAGUGACAGCUUAUGUAUAUGGGUCACUUGACACGGAUAUAUAUAUGAAAAUCCCUGAAGGAUUUAAAAUGCCAGAAUCUUGUCAAUCAUCACAUCGUGGCUUGUAUUCAAUAAAGCUACAAAAGUCUUUAUAUGGAUUAAAACAAUCUGGACGCAUGUGGUAUAAUUGCCUCAGUGAAUACUUGAUAAAAAUAGGAUACGUUAAUGAUCCUAUAUGUCCGUGUGUUUUUAUCAAGCAAUCAAAAUCUGGAAUUGCUAUUGUCGCGGUUUAUGUUGAUGAUUUGAAUUUAAUAAGAACUCCUGAAGAGCUCCAAAAGACCGCUGAAUGUUUGAAAAAUGAAUUUGAGAUGAAAGAUUUAGGGAAAACUAGAUAUUGUCUCGGGCUGCAGAUCGAGCACAGACCUAAUGGUAUCUUUAUCCAUCAAUCAAAUUAUACCGAGAAAAUUUUGAAACGUUUCAACAUGGAUAAAGCUUACCCAUUGAGUACCCCAAUGGUAGUCCGGUCUCUUGAUCCUAAAAAAAAUCCAUUCCGUCCUAAAGAAGAUGAUGAACAGAUACUUGGUCCUGAGGUACCAUAUCUAAAUGCAAUUGGUGCUCUGAUGUAUUUAGCACAAUGUACUAGACCAGACAUAGCAUUUUCUGUUAAUCUGUUAGCUUGAUUUAGCUCUGAACCAACUAGAAGACAUUGGAAUGGUGUCAAACACAUUUUUCGUUAUCUUCAAGGAACAAUUGAUUUAGGCUUAUUUUAUUCUAAUGAACUAACACCAAAUCCAGGUCUCGUUGGUUAUGCUGAUGCAAGAUAUUUAUUUGAUCCCCAUAAAGCUCGUUCACAAACAGGAUAUGUUUUUACUUUCAAUGGUACAACAAUUUCUUGGAAGUCUACAAAACAGACUCUCGUUGCAACAUCCUCCAACCAUUCUGAAAUUCUUGCACUACAUGAAGCCAGUCGAGAAUGCAUAUGGUUGCAAUCUGUAAUCCAUCAUAUUCAAAGUACAUGUAGAAUAUCUUCAAGUUCAGAUAUCCCAACAGUGAUAUAUGAAGAUAAUGCUGCAUGUAUAGCUUAACUUAGAGGAGGAUACAUUAAAGGGGACAGAACAAAACAUAUUCCGCCGAAAUUCUUCUACACCCAUGAGCUCCAACAGAACAAGAAGAUUGAUAUCAAACAGAUACGCUCCACGGAAAAUUUAGAUGAUAUGUUUACAAAAGCUCUACCUACAUCUACAUUUGAAAAAAUCGUAUAUGGCAUCGGCAUGCGUCGUUUUAACAAACUGUUAAAUUAAUGCAUGUUGCCUUCAGGAAGAGCACUCAACAAGAGGAGCGUGAUCUUACAAGAGAAGAAUUAUAGUAAUAUUGGACACAUAUGUACUGUACUCUUUUUUCCUUUUGACCAGGUUUUCCCACUGGGUUUUUACUGGCAAAGGUUUUUAAUGAGGCAGUAUCCAAUGUCAUCAGGGGGAGCACAUCUAAUAAAUAAUUGGUGAAUCCAAGGGGAGUGUUGUAAAUCAUGGCGGAUUCCACCAAAAUAAUGCUCUCCCAUUAUCAUCUUAUUGUUCUUCCCAUUAUCCUUUUUAUAAUUAAUAAUUGUGAAUAACUCCACCUUGUAAUGCCCAUAUAAACCCUUUUUUUGUUAGUGAAUGAAGAUAAUUUCAAUUCCUCGCUCAAGGCAUUUUGUUUGUUUUCUUCAAUCUUCAUUUGAGUAUUCCUUACUUACAUAUUCCCAAUUAAAUAAUUGCUUACAUACAAUCCCUUUAAAUUAUAACAUCCAUUAUCUCCAAAAUUAUAACAAGACACAAUUAUACAGCUAUGUUCAUGUGCAUUAUGGUUGCUCAUGUACCUGCCAUGAAUCAGUGACACAAGAAAUCCAGCUGAACGAAUGGUUUGAAUGUCUUUUUGUGUCAUUUUAUGCAUCCAGCAGGCAUGGAUUUGACCAUCAAAACCAUAAUUAGACUGCAUCCCAGUUGCUGAUAUACCUUUUACAUAUUCCUGUGAGUAACAUAUUUGAGGUCAAGCUAUCGGCAUUUUCCUUGAAAAUAGGUAUAUAUAAAAUAAGAACUUUAAAUAUUGUCAAUGUUGUAACGAGUUAAGGAAACUACAAUGAUUAUCUUAAAAUAAAUAUCCAUUACCAAAAGAAAGCCUAAGACUGUCAGGCACAACUGAAUCACUCAACUGAUAUCGAUUCCAUCGAGGGUGCCAAUGAAAAAGCAAACCUUGAAAAAGAAAAAUCUCGAAAUACUCAACCAAAUACUUGGUUAUCUAACUACAGCCUCUUGACGCUACAUACCAAAAGCCAGAUAGCAAGCAAAACUAAAACUUAAUUUUGUCGACAACGGACCAAAAACUGAAUAAUUGACCAGUUCACUUGACUUAGAUAGCUUUGUCACCCUUGAUUUAUCGGAUGCUCAAUUUUGAACAGACCCAAGCUGAAAAGUCCAGAGAUAUAAAGACUAACAACAUCUUACUCUAAAUUCAAGGGAAGCAGGUUUGUUAAAAUUAUAUGAUCAUCUAGAAAACAAGAGUUCUUACUUGAUAUAAAAUUGCUCUUCUAGUAGAAGAUCCAACAUAUUCUUCAAGAUAUUCCUGCACCCCACGUCACAAAUAGUAAUUAGCCUGAAAGGAAUCUUACCACAAACAGAAUCAUCUUUAUACCAUUCCCAUCCCUUUCAAUAUUAAAAGGGUGAGAAAAACUAGUGGAGAAAGAAUUGUUUUUAGAACAUUGUUUGAAGUUCCAAUUCCUAAGCAAUGACAUCCACAGUUAAAUUUGUUUACAGUACAAGUUUUAUGUAUUAGAUAGUCCUAGCCAUAGUUUUUACAACUUGACCAUGUCCUAAGCCAUGCUUCACUGGCUUCAUGUCUUAGAUUGUCUUAACCUUGUAUUUAUUUUUCUUUUCCCUGAAUGUUAUUACCCAGAAAAUAAAAUCCGUACAAUUAUCAAAAAUUGCAUUAUGAAUGUAUAUGUUCAAUUUCUGCCUCCUUGAUAUUAAUAUGCAUUGCAUGGUAAAUAUACAAAUAUAAGUAUAUAAGCACUAAAUUUUUGAAUAUAUAAUAUUUCAAAAGAAGCAUGUUGUAUAUUUCAUGCAAUGUCAUGAGUUGAUUGCCAUUUGGAGCCCAAUUGAACCUAUUGACCCUAGCCCUUUUCUCUUAUCCAGUUCAAUCAUUGGAUUAAAAUCAUAAUAAGUAAGAGAUCUAUUAAAAGUUUACAAUGAAAAACAUCCGCUGAUUCUAGUUCUGAUUCUGAUUCAGAAGAGUAAAGUGACUAGAAUAUAGCUUUGAGAAACCUCUAUUAGAACUAGAAACCCAAAUACUUAUGUCCAAUUGAAACGCUUGCGUAUUUGUUAUCUUGAAAUUUUUGAACAUUUCUAAUCAUUGAAUAUGAUUUGCCCAAAGCCUCCCUGCCUAUUGUGUUUAAGAGUGCCAGAUAACCGGCUGAUCAUGCCCUAAUGAUUUAAACCAGUUGUUUAAUCAGUAUGCACUGGUCUCUAGGCAGACUACUAGAAUAUCAUUAACUUACAAAAAUCAGAUUUUCCAGUAAUGUAGAAGGCAACUCUAUUUCAACCUAAGAUUCAGCAAGCUGCUAACAAGCUUCAUAAUUUUUUCUUCAUUGAUGACCACUGACACUGGGAAAAAAGAAAAGGAA
rnacentral:lncRNA from 1 species